GCCAGCCCGCUCAGAACUUAAAGGAGUUCGACGGGGGCCCGCACAAGCGGUGGAGCAUGUGGUUUAAUUCGAUGAUACGCGAGGAACUUACCUGGGCUCAAAUGUAUGUUGACGUAUUCUGAAAGGGAUACUUCUUCGGACAAUAUACAAGGUGCUGCAUGGUUGUCGUCAGCUCGUGCCGUGAGGUGUCGGGUUAAGUCCCAUAACGAGCGCAACCCUACCUUUAGUUGCCAUCAGGUAAUGCUGGGGACUCUAAAGGAACUGCCUACGCAAGUAGUGAGGAAGGCGGGGAUGACGUCAAAUCAGCACGGCCCUUACGUCCAGGGCUACACACGUGCUACAAUGGCCGAUACAGAGGGCAGCUACCUGGUGACAGGAUGCAAAUCUCCAAAGUCGGUCUCAGUUCGGAUCGGAGUCUGCAACCCGACUCCGUGAAGUUGGAUUCGCUAGUAAUCGCGCAUCAGCCAUGGCGCGGUGAAUACGUUCCCGGGCCUU
rnacentral:rRNA from 1 species